GACGAACGCUGGCGGCGUGCUUAACACAUGCAAGUCGAACGGAAAGGCCCUGCUUUUGUGGGGUGCUCGAGUGGCGAACGGGUGAGUAACACGUGAGUAACCUGCCCUUGACUUUGGGAUAACUUCAGGAAACUGGGGCUAAUACCGGAUAGGAGCUCCUGCUGCAUGGUGGGGGUUGGAAAGUUUCGGCGGUUGGGGAUGGACUCGCAGCUUAUCAGCUUGUUGGUGGGGUAGUGGCUUACCAAGGCUUUGACGGGUAGCCGGCCUGGGAGGGUGACCGGCCACAUUGGGACUGAGAUACGGCCCAGAGUCCUACGGGAGGCAGCAGUGGGGAAUAUUGCACAAUGGGCGGAAGCCUGAUGCAGCAACGCCGCGUGCGGGAUGACGGCCUUCGGGUUGUAAACCGCUUUCGCCUGUGACGAAGCGUGAGUGACGGUAAUGGGUAAAGAAGCACCGGCUAACUACGUG
rnacentral:rRNA from 1 species